GGUGACCUGCGGAGGGAUCAUUACUGAGUGAGGGCCUCCGGGUCCGACCUCCAACCCUUUUGUGAACCACCUCUGUUGCUUCGGGGGCGACCCCGCCGUUCGCGCGGCGGCGGCGCCCCCGGUGGCCCAAUCAAAACCUCGCGUAACUUUAGUGUCGGAGUCUUAAUUGAAUAAAUCAAAACUUUCAACAACGGAUCUCUUGGUUCUGGCAUCGAUGAAGAACGCAGCGAAAUGCGAUAAGUAAUGUGAAUUGCAGAAUUCAGUGAAUCAUCGAAUCUUUGAACGCACAUUGCGCCCCUUGGUAUUCCGAGGGGCAUGCCUGUUCGAGCGUCAUUUCACCACUCAAGCCUGGCUUGGUAUUGGGCGCCGCGGGACUCCCGCGCGCCUCAAAGUCUUUAUUUCCGGCUGAGCGACCCGUCUCUAAGCGUUGUGGCAACUAUUCGCGGCGAGAUCGGGGGGCGGCGGCCGUUAAAUCAUUUCAUUCAGGUUGACCUCGGAUCAGGUAGGGAUACCCGCUGAACUUAAGCAUAUCAAUAAGCGGAGGAAAAGAAACCAACAGGGAUUGCCCUAGUAACGGCGAGUGAAGCGGCAACAGCUCAAAUUUGAAACCUGGCGUAAGCCCGG
rnacentral:rRNA from 1 species